GCCACCAUAGCUCAGUGGUUAGACCACGUCAACCAGUCAGUGGUCACGUAAACCAGGGGUCGUGAGUUCAAGCCUCAUUGGUGGCU